rnacentral:tRNA from 1 species
GGAAAUAUAGCUCAGAGGAAGAGCGAUAGAUUGUUAAUCUAUUGGUCGGUGGUUCGAGUCCAUCUGUUUCCGCCA